rnacentral:lncRNA from 1 species
CACUAUUAUAUAUACACAAAUUACUAGUUAAUUACUUUAACUAAUUCUAAAACUUGUUGGACUUGUGGGCUGGACUUCUAUUUGAUCCGAGUCCUGGUCCAACUUGACAAUUGUGUAUUUUAAUGAAUCUGCAAAAAUACCCAAGAGUUAUUAGUAUUUACACAUAGGUAUUUUAUUUGAUUUGUGAUUUAUAUAAAAGUCCUUGGAUUAAUAUAAAACUAUAAUAUUAAAACAAUUGGAACUUUUAUACUCAAGACCUCUGUAAAAACAUUACAGUAGUAAUUUAGAACCCUUUUAUUAUUUGUAUUAUGCUUUAGGUCCAACUAACAAAUUAAUUGGAACUUUUGCAUAUAAAACCCCUGUUGGUUAAUACAAAACAGUUUAUUCUGUUUUGUAAAAACCUUAGGACUUUUUAUAUUUAACUUAGGUCCUAACUUAGUUUCUUAGGGUAAAUUUCUAUUUUACCCUAGAUUUCAGCUGUAUUUCUUAUAC